rnacentral:rRNA from 1 species
AUUGAACGCUGGCGGCAUGCCUUACACAUGCAAGUCGAACGGCAGCACGGGUGCUUGCACCUGGUGGCGAGUGGCGAACGGGUGAGUAAUACAUCGGAACGUACCGUGUAAUGGGGGAUAACGUAGCGAAAGUUACGCUAAUACCGCAUACGACCUGAGGGUGAAAGCAGGGGAUCGCAAGACCUUGCGUUAUACGAGCGGCCGAUGUCAGAUUAGCUAGUUGGUGAGGUAAAGGUUCACCAAGGCGACGAUCUGUCGCGGGUCUGAGAGGAUGAUCCGCCACACUGGGACUGAGACACGGCCCAGACUCCUACGGGAGUCAGCAGUGGGGAAUUUUGGACAAUGGGGGCAACCCUGAUCCAGCCAUGCCGCGUGAGUGAAGAAGGCCUUCGGGUUGUAAAGCUCUUUCGGCCGGGAAGAAAUCGCACAGGCUAAUACUCUGUGUGGAUGACGGUACCGGCAUAAGAAGCACCGGCUAACUACGUGCCAGCCGCCGCCGUAACAC